rnacentral:rRNA from 1 species
CCUACGGGAGGCAGCAGUGGGGAAUAUUGCACAAUGGGGGAAACCCUGAUGCAGCGACGCCGCGUGAGUGAAGAAGUAAUUCGUUAUGUAAAGCUCUAUCAGCAGGGAAGAAAAUGACGGUACCUGAGUAAGAAGCCCCGGCUAACUACGUGCCAGCAGCCGCGGUAAUACGUAGGGGGCAAGCGUUAUCCGGAUUUACUGGGUGGAAAGGGAGCGUAGACGGCAGUGCAAGUCUGGAGUGAAAGGCGGGGGCUCAACCCCCGGAGUGCUCUGGAAACUGUACGGCUGGAGUGCAGGAGAGGUAAGUGGAAUUCCUAGUGUAGCGGUGAAAUGCGUAGAUAUUAGGAGGAACACCAGUGGCGAAGGCGGCUUACUGGACUGUAACUGACGUUGAGGCUCGAAAGCGUGGGGAGCAAACAGGAUUAGAUACCCCAGUAGUC